rnacentral:rRNA from 1 species
AUUGAACGCUGGCGGCAUGCCUUACACAUGCAAGUCGAACGGCAGCACGGGUGCUUGCACCUGGUGGCGAUUGGCGAACGGGUGAGUAAUACAUCGGAACAUGUCCUGUAGUGGGGGAUAGCCCGGCGAAAGCCGGAUUAAUACCGCAUACGAUCUACUGAUGAAAGCGGGGGACCUUCGGGCCUCGCGCUAUAGGGUUGGCCGAUGGCUGAUUAGCUAGUUGGUGGGGUAAAGGCCUACCAAGGCGACGAUCAGUAGCUGGUCUGAGAGGACGACCAGCCACACUGGGACUGAGACACGGCCCAGACUCCUACGGGAGGCAGCAGUGGGGAAUUUUGGACAAUGGGCGAAAGCCUGAUCCAGCAAUGCCGCGUGUGUGAAGAAGGCCUUCGGGUUGUAAAGCACUUUUGUCCGGAAAGAAAUCCUUGGCCCUAAUACGGUCGGGGGAUGACGGUACCGGAAGAAUAAGCACCGGCUAACUACGUG